GGAAUGGAGAAGAUGACCUCUGAAGCCUGAAGGCUCUUUGGGAAGCAGGACAUCCUGAAGAGCCAGCCUUGAGCUGGCUGCACAAGAGACUCAUAGACUCUGCGUCAACAUCCACCUCUCCAGGCUGCAGUGGGUGUACCUGUUCACCGCCACCUCCAGCAGCACUGUCGCAGCGGAGCAGUUCUCACAGCCAAUGAGCUUCCACGCCACCUCCCUGCAGUUCUCUGCAACCGAGGCUCCAUCCUGCACUGAUGGGCUGCCUGACACGUCGGCCUCAACAAGCAUUUCCAGCACAUUCUCAGCUUUCCUGCUCUGCUGGGCAAAACGCAGGGUGAGAAGGGGAGAGGAAGCACGGGACUGUGGCCCAGUUCUAGGCUUGGAUUCUAGCGAGGAACACCAGGUGCCUGCAUUAAAAGAGCUGCUCCCAGUGGAAUGGCUGAGUCCCAACCUC
rnacentral:lncRNA from 1 species